rnacentral:rRNA from 1 species
GGGUGACGAAGCUGGCGGACGGGUGAGUAAUGUCUGGGAAACUGCUUAUGGAGGGGGAUAACUACUGGAAACCGGUAGCUAAUACCGCAUAACGUCUGCAAUGACAAAGACGGGGGACCUUCGGGNCUCUUGCCAUCAGAUGUGCCCAGAUUGGAUUAGCUAGUAGUGGGGUAACGGUCACCAAGGGCGANGAUCCGUACUGGUCUGAGAGGACGANCAGCACACCGGAACUGAGACACGGUCCGGAAUCCUACGGGAGGCACAAUGGGGAAUAUUGGACCAUGGGGGAAACCCUUGAUCCAGCGACGCCCCGUNGGUUACAGAAGGGCUGCGGGUUGUAAAGNCCUUUCAGUUGGGGAAGAACAUGUCCGACUAAAUACAGUCGGGAACCUUUAACGUUCCANACGAAAAAAAAGCACCGGGGGUAAACGUCCUGNUGAGCCAAGGGAAGCCGNAGGGGUAAUUAUCAAGAAGGGGUUGCAGAANGCCGAUUAAUUCGGGAAAUUUAACUGGGGCGUAAAAUCGGGCGAANGGGAGGAAUGGAGCUUUGUGAUAUAGGUCAGGGAAUUGUUGUGAAAAAUNCACCCACCGGGGGGACUC